AGUAACGCGUGAGCAACCUGCCUAUGACAGUGGGAUAGCCUCGGGAAACCGGGAUUAAUACCGCAUAAAAUCGUAGAAACACAUGUUUUAACGGUCAAAGAUUUAUCGGUCAUAGAUGGGCUCGCGUCUGAUUAGCUAGUUGGUGAGAUAACAGCCCACCAAGGCGACGAUCAGUAGCCGGUCUGAGAGGAUGAACGGCCACAUUGGAACUGAGACACGGUUCAA
rnacentral:rRNA from 1 species